rnacentral:tRNA from 1 species
GGGGUUGUGGCUCAGUGGCAGAGCACUCACCUCACAUGUGUGAAGUCCUGGGUUCGAUCCUCAGUGCCA